AGGCGAAAAGAACCCCGGCGAGGGGAGUGAAAAAGAACCUGAAACCGUGUACGUACAAGCAGUGGGAGCACAGGUUUACCUGUGUGACUGCGUACCUUUUGUAUAAUGGGUCAGCGACUUAUAUUCUGUAGCAAGGUUAACCGUAUAGGGGAGCCGUAGGGAAACCGAGUCUUAACCGGGCGUUAAGUUGCAGGGUAUAGACCCGAAACCCGGUGAUCUAGCCAUGGGCAGGUUGAAGGUUGGGUAACACUAACUGGAGGACCGAACCGACUAAUGUUGAAAAAUUAGCGGAUGACCUGUGGCUGGGGGUGAAAGGCCAAUCAAACCGGGAGAUAGCUGGUUCUCCCCGAAAGCUAUUUAGGUAGCGCCUCGUGAAUUCAUCUCCGGGGGUAGAGCACUGUUUCGGCUAGGGGGCCAUCCCGGCUUACCAACCCGAUGCAAACUGCGAAUACCGGAGAAUGUUAUCACGGGAGACACACGGCGGGUGCUAACGUCCGUCGUGAAGAGGGAAACAACCCAGACCGCCAGCUAAGGUCCCAAAGUCAUGGUUAAGUGGGAAACGAUGUGGGAAGGCCCAGACAGCCAGGAUGUUGGCUUAGAAGCAGCCAUCAUUUAAAGAAAGCGUAAUAGCUCACUGGUCGAGUCGGCCUGCGCGGAAGAUGUAACGGGGCUAAACCAU
rnacentral:rRNA from 2 species